UACGAAGGGGGCUAGCGUUGCUCGGAAUCACUGGGCGUAAAGGGUGCGUAGGCGGGUCUUUAAGUCAGGGGUGAAAUCCUGGAGCUCAACUCCAGAACUGCCUUUGAUACUGAAGAUCUUGAGUUCGGGAGAGGUGAGUGGAACUGCGAGUGUAGAGGUGAAAUUCGUAGAUAUUCGCAAGAACACCAGUGGCGAAGGCGGACUCACUGGCCCGAUACUGACGCUGAGGCACGAAAGCGUGGG
rnacentral:rRNA from 1 species